AAAUUGAAGAGUUUGAUCAUGGCUCAGAUUGAACGCUGGCGGCAGGCCUAACACAUGCAAGUCGAGCGGAAACGACACUAACAAUCCUUCGGGUGCGUUAUUGGGCGUCGAGCGGCGGACGGGUGAGUAAUGCCUAGGAAAUUGCCUUGAUGUGGGGGAUAACCAUUGGAAACGAUGGCUAAUACCGCAUAAUGCCUACGGGCCAAAGAGGGGGACCUUCGGGCCUCUCGCGUCAAGAUAUGCCUAGGUGGGAUUAGCUAGUUGGUGAGGUAAUGGCUCACCAAGGCGACGAUCCCUAGCUGGUCUGAGAGGAUGAUCAGCCACACUGGAACUGAGACACGGUCCAGACUCCUACGGGAGGCAGCAGUGGGGAAUAUUGCACAAUGGGCGAAAGCCUGAUGCAGCCAUGCCGCGUGUAUGAAGAAGGCCUUCGGGUUGUAAAGUACUUUCAGUUGUGAGGAAGGGGGUAGUGUUAAUAGCGCUAUCU
rnacentral:rRNA from 1 species